GAAAGUCCUACGUUCCCUCAACUUAAUACAACUUCGCCUCUCAGAGCACUCUGAGCAACUCGAUUCAAUCUCUACAUCUCUGCAGCAGCGAGAGGAGUCUUCAGAAGGGCGUGUGGUCAUACGACAGUUUCCCGACUUGGAAAGUCUUGUCAACUUCAGUGAGGAACUCAAACAGUCACCAGAAAAAAAGAAAUGUUGCGGAAAUACAUGACUUCACUGGGAGGCAACAACCUAGGGGACAGAGUUCGAAGAAUUCUUUACCACCUGAUCCCCGAUGAGGUAUCCGUAUGCUUCAACUGGACAGGAACAGGAGGAAAACGCAAAUUCAAGACCCUUGAAUUCACAAAUGUCAUGCUGGGUGUUAUUACCAGCCCUCCUAGCACUUCAACGGCGGCCGAGGUGGAGAAAGUCGUGCAAACCUGGCUUCGACAUGGGCAAGAAAGACUUCUGAAAAAAGUAUCCAAGCUGCCAGUAGACCCUAGAAGGGUCAACCACAAGAAAUCACACAGCCAAGGCAGCCAAGGAUUCAAUGCAACCGCCAUUUCCAUGUUGGUGACUGGUCCUCUUUUCUCUUGCAGGACCCCAUUGGGAAACAGUCACAUUGUGCAUUAAGACUUUUUACAUGAGAGGCGACAUGCAGGUCACUUGAGAGGUACUUCCAAGGGGCAUUUCUAUGCGUGCCGUUGGUGUCUUUCUUUGGGACUGACUGUUACAGCAGUAAUUUCAUAUUACUUACUUAGUUGGACAAUAUAGGUCAGCAUUUCAGGCCU